AGCUUUGUGCAGUGGUAGCUUCGUAGCCAAUGAGGUUUGUCUGAGGCGUGAUUAUUGCUCAUUGAAAAUUUUUCCUAAUACUCUGCCAUGAAGACUUGAAAUGCAGUCAGCACUGGUGAUUUUUGACAGUGUCUAUGGAGA
rnacentral:snRNA from 1 species